rnacentral:rRNA from 1 species
GAUGAACGCUGGCGGCGUGCCUAAUACAUGCAAGUCGAGCGAACAGACGAGGAGCUUGCUCCUCUGACGUUAGCGGCGGACGGGUGAGUAACACGUGGAUAACCUACCUAUAAGACUGGGAUAACUUCGGGAAACCGGAGCUAAUACCGGAUAAUAUAUUGAACCGCAUGGUUCAAUAGUGAAAGACGGUUUUGCUGUCACUUAUAGAUGGAUCCGCGCCGCAUUAGCUAGUUGGUAAGGUAACGGCUUACCAAGGCGACGAUGCGUAGCCGACCUGAGAGGGUGAUCGGCUACACUGGAACUGAGACACGGUCCAGACUCCUACGGGAGGCAGCAGUAGGGAAUCUGCCGCAAUGGGCGAAAGCCUGACGGAGCAACGCCGCGUGAGUGAUGAAGGUCUUCGGAUCGUAAAACUCUGUUAUUAGGGAAGAACAAAUGUGUAAGUAACUAUGCACGUCUUGACGGUACCUAAUCAGAAAGCCACGGCUAACUACGUG